CUGUCCCCUAAAGGAGCUUAGCCUGGUUCUUAACAAUCUUUUUUCUUUUUUCUUCCUCGACCAAGCUCGUCUUGAGGUUCCUUAACUUCCUCCCCAAAAUGGUGCAUGGGGAAGACCUUAAAACUCAUAUCUUCCUCAGGUGUCGACUAUAAACAAGAAAAGAGGGGCUACGAUUUUGUUUUGCAUGAGAAAGAAGAGAUGAUGACAGCAUGGGAGAGGCGAAUUGAAGAUGAUUGGCUGGAGGUAGGGUGCUGUAAAGAAGAGGUAGUAAGAUAAGGAUCGGAAGAGGUAGAUGAUGACAACAUGGAAUUCAUUUACAACUUGAUGUGAAUUGCCGGACAAAAAGCCAGUCAGCGGGAUCAAAGCAGUAUGAUUUGUGAAUCUCCAGAAAACCCAGGUGCUAUACUGAAUUUGUUCUGAAUUUUCUUUUUCUGUCUGCUUGAUAAUUGAGAUUCGAUAUGGAACCCUAACAUUGCGGAUGAGGAAGAAUAAAAUGUUGGUUCCUCGCGAUCCAAGUCGAAGUUCGAAGAGAAUUAUGGCAACCGCUUUAAUUUUCUCAUGUGAUUUCCAGUCACGUUGUGGGUUGAUAAUACGAAUAUAAUUUUCUGGAGGAAUUAGAAAGAACAUGGUUGGGAUUUAUUCGGACGAUGGAAGUCGAAGGCACCUACCAUCGUGGAUGCUGGGUGUUUCUUCUAAGGAUGAAGCAAAGAAACAAUGUGAGAGAAGUGAAAAUAUCGAAAAGUAGUGAAAUCAAAUGCUCAGCGGAAAGAUAAGAAAUCUCUGGUUUUUUAAAGUGUGAAUCUAAGGGAAAAGAAAACGAAAUCAACUAAAACCUAAGGAUGGUGCUUCAGAUGGCGGUAUCAAUGUUUGUGCAAGUGGUAAUGAAUCGAGAAUUCCAUCUCCUCUUUAUGAUGCUCAGGAUCUGACUGUGGAAGAUCUUCUCGCCAUUGCUGAAGAGUAUGUUAGAGGUGAUAACAAUAUGGGAAUGCAUAAAUUAUUAAGCAAAGAAUCCGAAUUGGUCAGGGAAUCUACGGCCCCAGGAAAUCAAUUGGGAGAUUCUAAUAUCCUUGCUUUGGGUUCAUCUGUUCGUGAGAGAAAA